AUGGAUCCUGAGUUGGGAGAGGUCAUAGAGGAGGAGGGGGAUGCCGUCGAUGUGAGGGCUGCAGUAGCGGAGCAGAGGAGGAGGAGGAGGCGCAGGCGCAGGCAGAUGGCACGACGUGCUGCCGAGGAGGAACUGGAGGCAGAGUUCAACAGACGCCUUGUGCGCGAGAAAAUGUCACCCAGGAUCAAGAUUGUUGCUCCUAGUUCCGGUGUUCUGAAGAUGCAGACUUCAGACAAAAAUGGGUAUCAGUUGAUGGAAGUUGCCUACCACAUUGACUUUGAUGGUUGCAUCAACCUAACUACUGGGUGGAAGGAGUUUGUGGCAGAGUCUGGAUUUGAGGAUGGUGAUGUGGUUAUGGCUGGAUUCACUAGGGUUCCUUUGCUCUUGAACGAGUGGUUGGCGACAGUGAUACUCGAUUCCGUGGCGGAUUUUGUGUUUGCUUAUGUUGGAGUGCCGGUGCCUCCUGAUUCUGAAAAAUCAGAACGCUUUCAAGAUCUUGUGAAUGUUAUUUUUGAGACACCAAAUCCGCAAGAAGAACUUGCGGAUGUUGCUGUUAAUGACAGCCAUGGUGCUGCUGAGGACAUUGCUGAUGUUGUCAAAGAUAUUAAUGAUGGAAUGUAUUCUCUUAACGCUGAGGAUGUUCCUAUGCAGUUACAUCUCGAGGAUGAAAGGAUAAGAAAGAAGAAGUGUGAUUUCCAGAGGAGAAAGGAGUUGGAACGGCGUCAAAAGGUUGCCUGUGUUCAACGCAAUGAUCGGGAUGUUGCUCAAGCUCCUGAAGGUGUAGGUGAUGAAGGUGGUGACGCGGCCUUUUCAACUGUUGAUGCUGGAUCUCAUGGAAGUGACAUGCCUAUGAAGACAAACUUGAUGCAAACUCGUUUGACGCAAGUGUUUACUCGUGAUGCAGUUAAUGAGAAGAAAGCUGUUUUGAAGAGGAAGAUGUCAGAUCGAAAUCCUGAUGGCACACAGAGGCGUAGCCCACAUGCGAAAGCUGGUUCCCAACCUGGUAAUAGCAAAGCUGAUGGGGAUAGUGUUGCUGUGAAGAUUGGUCCAAGCAAACUUGGUGGCUCCCCUGUUUGUCGUAGUCCACGGGUUUUGACAAAUAAGAAGUCUUCUUCUCCUCCUCUUCGAGAGCGCUCUUUGUUGAAAGAAAAUAAUAAGCGUAAAGUUCAUCCUGCGAAGGUGAACAAAGGUGUGAAGAAGCGUGCUCGUGUCGAAGCUGAAGAUGUUGUAUCUGAAGAAGAUGAUAUCAAAGUUGAUUCUGAAGAUGAAUUUGUAGUGCCUGUUAGCGUUAUGAGUCCGGUCAAGCCGGUGCGACGCAAUGCCGGAAAAGUUGCCUUGGAUGAAGGUGACCAACGGAAAUUGAACUUAACUGUGCGAUGUUCGUUGGGAGAGGUUGAAGCUUGUGAUAAAUUUCUUGAGAGUCGGCAUGUGGCUAGGGUUUAUGUAGCUGGUUUUGGUUCUAUCUUCAAUUGGAGGGUGAAGUCUAACAUUUCCCGCCCUCUGAUGGGAGUUUUGUACCUGAGGAUAGAUGCCGAUAUGAUGACUCUUGACAUGGGUGAGGCUAAUAAGAAGCUUCGCAUCACUAGCGAUGGUAUACAUCAAUUAUUUGGGUUCCCUCGUGGUGGUCGUUCUCCGCGAAGGCCGUCAAAGGAUGGAUAUGACGACGCUCUGAUGAAGUUAAGAUUGGAGCUUGACAUUAGCAGGAACAUAGAUAUUAAGACAAAGGAUUUGAGGAAUAAGCUCAAGGUGCUCGUCAAGGAUCCUAGCAAAGAUGACCUUGCUCUGAAAGUGUUCUUCAUUAUUGUGUUUAUGAAGGUUGUGUUGCCUGGUGCCGCCCCGCGUGUUUCCAGAGAGGCAGCAAUGUUUGAGGGUCUCGUCUUUGAGGACAUGGCUAAUAUGGAUUAUUGUCAGCUGAUGGUUGAUGAGCUUAGAAGGGCUGUUGUCAGGUACCAAGAUGGUGUUACCCUUGGGAAGGCAAUCACAGGCUGUGCUAUAGGUCCUAUACUAAUGUACCUUGACUGCCUUAUCCGUGGCAAGACUGCGGAGCCUGACAUGCGAGUCCCUCGCAUAUGUUUCAUGGAUCCUGUCAAGCUUUCUGAUCUGGUUGAUGCAGAUUUGAUAAAAAAAAGGCAAUGCAGAUCCAAAGACUUGGGUGUUUGGGAAGCUUUCGUGGAAAACUCAAGAGGGGGUUGUUUUUUCCGACAGUAUAAACGGCCAGUCCUGGAGAUGCCGUCGUCUCAGGUUCCCAAGUCUUCAUCUCUGCACGACGAGUUGAGAGAUGGUCGUGGUGUUGAGGGUGCUGGUUAUGUUCCCCCUGGCCCUAGUAAUGCUAGUACUUCACAGAGGCAGGGUUUUGGUAAUGAUGUUGCUGUUUCUGCGUUGGAGCGCGCUGAGCAUAUUUUAAGUAAUGUGUGUUCUGAGCUGCAAAAGGUCCCAACGACAGUUGAGCGUCUGAGCUGUAUCAAUGGUAUCCUUCCUGAAGGUCAUCAAUUUAACGCUGAGGAAGCAGUGGACUAUAUUGAGAUGGAGAGAAUUUUUAUUGGUGAUAUGCGUGACGGUGCUGCUGAUCUAGUUCAGAGCUCGGUUCGUCUGUUGAACAACAUGAAGCGUUUCAAAACUAUGCAAGACUCUCGCUGCAAGCCAUAUGAAGAAAGUGCAAAAGUUGUUAUCAGGCAGAUUGAGCAAGAUGAGGCUGCUGCCACCGACAGCAGGGCUGGUAAUGGUACUGAGGCUAAUGUUCCUGAUCAUGAAACGAAUGAUGUUGGCUUGGAGCGCGCUGUUGUUGAUAUUGAGCAGGAUGAGGCUGUUGCCACCGACAGCAGGGAUGAUGAUGGUACUGAGGUUAAUUUUUCUGAUCACCAUACGAACGAUGUUGGCUUGGAGCACCAUGUUGUUGAUGAGACCAGUCAUAAUGUUGAGGCUGUUGUUGACCAUGGAGUUAAUGAUCCAUCUACUGAUAAGUGCAAGGGUCCUGUUGUUGGCGACGAGCCUUGUUCGCCCGUUGGUGAUGUUGCUUUGAAUGUUAGCAACAACAAGAUCGAUGAUGUUUCUGUGAAUGCUUCUAAGCGUGAGGCUGUCGUUAGUGGUGGAGAUGAUGCUCAUGGUGUUCCAUUGAGUAGUUGGCGCGAUGUUGGUACCAAAGUUGCUGAUGAGGAUGUUGGUGCUGCUAGCAUACUUGAUGCCAAACCGUCUGGUGUUGGUAUUGAUGGGAAUGAAAAUCUUUCUGAUUUUGAAGAUUUGCCGCCGGAAAAUUUCCUGCCUGGAGGGCUUGAUUAUGGUGAUGCAUUGCAAGAUGCUUCUAGCGUGGAGGAGGUGCCAUCCGAGGAUGAUGAUUUACUUCUGUCUAUUUCUUCUGGCCCCUUGACGCAGGAGGCGCUCGUGUCGUCCCAGGAUUUUCUUUCCACAGACCCUGAAAGCGCAGCGAUAUUGAUGUCCUCUCAAGAUGUGCCAUCGUCAAACCCUGAAACUGGAGGCAUAUUGGUCUCAUCAAAGGAACUACCGUCGUCGUCAAACACUCAUAGUGCAGUGCUUGAACUUAUUAUUUUUCUUCUUUUUCUGCAAGCAAAAAGUGGAAAUGUUGUUAAGGUUGAUAUAUUUUUCUUCGCUAUUACGAGGUUGCGCACGAACCGUACGAAAUGUCACAAGCCGAUGUUUCAAAAUAAAGAAUGUGAUGCCAGUGUUGGUUCUAUUGCUAAAGCGUUUGUCCCCACUGGCAUGCUCAACUUAGAGAGUGCUGACGUUGUUUUAUAUUCUCUACGUCAGAAGUACCGAGAGACUGACAAGUUGAUAGUUCCCAGAUGGGUGACGACCAAGAUCCGUGAUGGAAAUAUUGAUUCCAAUGUGCUAAAUUGGUUCACGAGAUCGUGUGCUGAUGGUUUUGACCAACUUCUCUUCCCUACUUUUGAUCCGCCGUCCAUUGCGGCUACCAUGAAGCCUAGUGAAGAAUCUGGGCAUUGGUGCUUGAUUGUUCUGAAUUUGAGGUUCCGUCGUUUUGAGUGUCUUGAUUCACUGCGCGAUGAAACCUGGAGUGAUGCAGUUAGAUUCUUAAGGACUAUGACAUAUAACAUAAAGAAGCUUUGUAGGGAGUCUAGCGUAGACAGGGCGAAACCAUUCUCGCCGACGCAUAUUGAUGGUUUCUCUUGCGAGUUUAUGCGGGUGCCGCAUCAGAAAAACACCUGGAAGACCUAUCAUUGCUGGGAGGAUGGUGUGAUUGAAAUGUUAGAUUACAGCCACGAAGACAUUCUUGACAUUAGGAAGACUUUUCUGUAUACCUGCGCAACUAGCGAUGUGUUUGAUGUUGACUUCCGUGGUUUGUUUGGCAUCGAACCCUAGAGCCCCUCUACACCCAAGCAUCCCAUUGUGGAAUUGAUAGACAGUGAUGAUGAUGCGUUUGACAAGAUUGCUGGCAUGGGAAGAGUCACCAGGAGCGCUGCUGCUGCCAAGGGUUUAUCCCCACUUGCUGGAAUAGUGGCCCGUAGAGCUGGUGGUGCUAGGAAGGAUCCUGCUUUGGAUUCUGGAAAUGUUACAAGCACGAAGCGUGCACCCAGAGCUCCUAUAAAUUUUUGCUCCCCUGUGCAGCAGCUUCACUCUCAUAAAUUCCCUCACCUGGACAAGGCUCGCAAGUUGUAUAAUCUGUUGCUUAGCGAUGAAGCAUGUGAGAAGUAUGCCAAGAAUACAUUCUCAAUGAUACCUCAGUCCGAUGAUAGCGUUGUGCUUGACUGUACGUUUUACGGUGCUGAAAAUAAACCGUUUAAUGUCGAGAGUGCAGCGAGAGAUUUCAAGAGCUAUGUCAAAGAAAAGGAAGACUUGCUCAGUGCCGACCUUAUCAUGAUGCCUCUAUUCAAGCCUAUGGUUUUAGCAAAGGAUAAGAAAGUGAACCACUUUUCCUUAUAUGUCAUGAAUCGGUACCGAAGUAGCGUCGACAUCCUUGACUCUUUACCUUAUCCGAAGAACCAUCGUCCUUCAAAGAACACCUAUCAUAAAGACUGCGAGAAGAUUAUCUCUAGGAUGGUCCAAGUAAUGAAGGCUUUUUAUGGUGAUGCUCAGUACAAUGCGAGCAAGCAGCCCAAAUGGGAGCUUUUUGCAAAGAAACCAACGUUUGUGAAGGUUCCACUUCAAGGGGCGAAUGAAUGUGGCCAUUAUACUCUGAAGUAUGCGGAAUGCUAUGAUGGUGAAAAGAUCGUUGGGAACAUUCGAGAUAAUGAUCCUCGUAUUGUUGAUUGGAAUGUUGAGGAUCUGUAUAGAGUUGUGUUCAACCGGAAUAACCAGCUUCUGGUGACUGAGCUUCCCAAGGAGUUUCAGCCUUUGGCUCCUGGUGCACAGAAGAAAUGGUCAUCAUUUGCGUAG
rnacentral:rRNA from 1 species